rnacentral:misc_RNA from 1 species
GUGAGAGCUUUCUCAUGAUGACAGAGGAUAAAACAGAUGGCAUCGAUCCCUAUAUUUAAACCUCCAUCGUUCAAUGCAUUAUAAAGAACUUCAAGUUUUCGAUUAAAUGAGGUGUAUUUUUCUAAUUUUUCUAUCACAUUUGCAAUAAAGCAUUUAUCUUGAAAUUGAUUGUAAAUUUGCUUAAAUAACUUGCUAGCAAUAGUUGUUUUUCCU